rnacentral:rRNA from 1 species
UCGAGAAUCUUUCGCAAUGGGCGAAAGCCUGACGAAGCGACGCCGUGUGUGUGAUGAAGGCCUUCGGGUUGUAAAGCACUUUCGCCUGAGAACAAGAAAACGUGACUAAUACUCAUGUGAUUUGAGAGUACCAGGUAAAGAAGCACCGGCUAACUACGUGCCAGCAGCUGCGGUAAUACGUAGGGUGCAAGCAUUAAUCGGAUUUAUUGGGCGUAAAGGGCGCGUAGGCGGAAAUGUCAGUCAGAUGUGAAAUCCCGGGGCUCAACCUCGGAACCGCAUUUGAAACUACAUUUCUAGAGGGUAGGCGGAGAAAACGGAAUUCCACAAGUAGCGGUGAAAUGCGUAGAUAUGUGGAAGAACACCAGUGGCGAAGGCGGUUUUCUAGCUUAUACCUGACGCUGAUGCGCGAAAGCAAGGGGAGCAAACAGGAUUAGAUACCCCCGUAGUCC